GUCACCUCAUCUUUUCUAACUGAGUAAAACAUUGAGACUCUUUUGACACUAAGAAAAUGAAUAAAGGAAAGUUUUUUUGUGUGUCUCCAAUAUUCUCUAUAUGGUGCAAAUAUUUGAUCUAAUCCAUUAUAUGAUAUUUUCAUAUGGCUGAUUAACGCGGGUCGGUUACAGAAUUCGAUAUCAUGUGUUUUCAUUACUUCUUUGGCCAUUUUUGCUGAUGAAACAACGACUGUUUGCUUUGAACCAAGUUUAAGGGAGAUUAUAGGGCCAUAUUUCUUAGAGAGUUCAUAGAAAUUUAAACCAAGAACUGAACUAUCAAGUUGGUGUAAGUUUCCAAUGAAAGGAAGGCCUUUAGGACCUGGUGGAAGAGUUGUUGAUUUCUUAGAUUUCAUAGAAAUUUAAACCAAGAACUGAACUAUCAAGUUGGU
rnacentral:lncRNA from 1 species